rnacentral:rRNA from 1 species
GAUGAACGCUGGCGGCGUGCCUAAUACAUGCAAGUCGAGCGAAUGGAUUAAGAGCUUGCUCUUAUGAAGUUAGCGGCGGACGGGUGAGUAACACGUGGGUAACCUGCCCAUAAGACUGGGAUAACUCCGGGAAACCGGGGCUAAUACCGGAUAACAUUUUGAACCGCAUGGUUCGAAAUUGAAAGGCGGCUUCGGCUGUCACCUAUGGAUGGACCCGGGUCGCAUUAGCUAGUUGGUGAGGUAACGGCUCACCAAGGCAACGAUGCGUAGCCGACCUGAGAGGGUGAUCGGCCACACUGGGACUGAGACACGGCCCAGACUCCUACGGGAGGCAGCAGUAGGGAAUCUUCCGCAAUGGACGAAAGUCUGACGGAGCAACGCCGCGUGAGUGAUGAAGGCUUUCGGGUCGUAAAACUCUGUUGUUAGGGAAGAACAAGUGCUAGUUGAAUAAGCUGACACCUUGACGGUACUUAACCAGAAAGCCACGGCUAACUACGUGCCAGCAGCCGCCGUAA